CUGCCCAGAAAACACUCGUGUGAGACUCAGGCAAGCUCCCUCGGGCUGCUCAGAUAACAGAGCUGUUUUUCCAAGUUUGGCCCUGGCUGCCACGUGGCUCGAAAACUGUCUGGAGAGACUGAAGCAAGAGGAGGGUGGCUCCAGCCUGGAAGUCAUCAGGCUCCACUGAGUCCCAGCCUCACCCUCCAAAGCCCUCUGCUCUGCAGAUAGAGAACAGAAGUCUAAUAGGAGAGCUGAGGUCACACCAUUUGGUCUAGCCUGGACAUUUUUGCCUCACACCAUAUUUGGGGGGAAAAAAUUGGAACUAGCUGACUUUUUCAAGUGGGAUGAUUCUAUUUUAAAGCUUCAUAUUUCUGGCUUUUUAGAAAAGGUGGAUGAUCCUGAAACACAAGGGCCUACAUUCCUGCAUGGUGAUAACUGGCUGGAGCAGGGUAAGUGCUUCCUCCCAAGAUCAUCACAGCCCCACCGCUGGACCACACUGAGACUCCCUGGGGCAGCCAUGGGAUGUUUAAUUCUUCCUGGGUGGGCUCACUACAUGCCUGCAGGCCUCAUUCCUUCCAGGACAGCAGCUGGAGCUGCCUACUAGAAGCAGCUAGUCCUCAGUGACCUGCUGGAAGGUACCUGGCCAUCGAAUUGGAGAACACAAGUACCCUUUCGGGCUUACCUAAGGGCUGGAGCAGAUUGUUUAGACACCGUUUCACAAGAACUGGAGUUGGUGCACUGGGACGACCCAGAGGGAUGGUACAGGGAGGGAGGAGGGAGGAGGGUGCAGGAUGGGAAACACGUGUAUACCUGUGGCGGAU
ensembl:lncRNA